rnacentral:rRNA from 1 species
ACUCAAAUGAAUUGACGGGGGCCCGCACAAGCGGUGGAGCAUGUGGUUCAAUUCGACGCAACGCGCAGAACCUUACCUGGGCUAGAAAAUGCAAGAACCUGGUUGAAAGAUCGGGGUGCCCUUCGGGGAGCUUGUAGUUAGGUGCUGCAUGGCUGUCGUCAGCUCGUGUCGUGAGAUGUUGGGUUAAGUCCCGCAACGAGCGCAACCCUUGUUGUCAGUUGCCAGCGGUUCGGCCGGGCACUCUGACGAGACUGCCGAUAUUCAAAUCGGAGGAAGGUGGGGACGACGUCAAGUCAUCAUGGCCCUUAUGUCCAGGGCUACACACGUGCUACAAUGGUCGGUACAAACGGCUGCAAACCCGCGAGGGCGAGCGAAUCCGAAAAAACCGACCUCAGUACGGAUAAGAGUCUGCAACUCGACUCUUUGAAGUUGGAAUCGCUAGUAAUCCCUGAUCAGCAGGCAGGGGUGAAUACGUUCCCGGGCCUUGCACACACCGCCCGU